rnacentral:lncRNA from 1 species
AUAGAGUAAUGGAAAAUAUGAAAGAUAAAAAUCAUAGAGGAGAAAAUGAGAAGUUCCAAAAUUUAUACUAGAUUAGUAGUUCUACAAGGAGAAAAUAGGGGAGAAGAAGCACCAUUCUAAGAAAUAAUGAUGAAAGAUUUUCUACAAGCGAAGAAAAAUGAGCCUCUGGAAUGAAAAGGCACAUUGAGUUCUGAGUAGAAUAAAAAAUUUCAUUUCUAGACAUAUUGAAGAGACUGAAAAACAAUAAAAAUAAAGAAAAAUCUGAAAAGCCAUCAGAAAUGAAACAUCCACAAACGAAUGAUGUUCUGCCUGAAGCCAAUUUCUCAUCAGCAACAAUAGAUGCCAAUGGACUAAUAUCUUCGAAGUGAUCAGAAAAACAACUAAAUUCUACAUUCAAUUAACCAGCAGUUAAGGAUGAAUGCAAAAUAAAGACAUUUUCAGAUAUAUACAGACUGAGGUUUUACUAAUCUCAGACUUUUGCUCAAAGAAUUUAUGAAGGGUGGACUUUAGCAAGAAAAAAAUUAAGCUCAGAGGGAAAGAAUCUUCCAAUCAAAAUGGAAGAAUAAGAACCAGAUUUACCCUUUCACCUGGAACAACAAAUAAAACUGGACAAAACAGUUAUUAUUGAUAAUUAUUUAAUGAUGAGGAUGUAUUCUGAGAAAUGCACCUUUAGGUGUUUUUUGUCCUUACUGAAACAUCAUAGAGGAUACUUACACAAACCUGGAUGUCAUAGCCUACUACACACCUGGGCUACAUGGUAGAGCCUGUUGCUCCUAGGCUCCUGUACAGGAUGUUACUGUAUUGAAUACUGUUGGCAAUUGUAACACAAUGGUAAGUAUUUGUGUUUAAACAUAUCUAAACAUAGAAAAGGCAGACUAAAAAUAUGGCAUAAAAGAUUAAAGUAUGGUAUAUUUCUAUAGGGCACUUACCACAAGUGAAGCUUGCAGGACUGGAAGUUGCUCUGGGUGAGUCAGUGAGUGGGUGGUGAGUGAAUGUGAAGUUGUAGGACAUUAUGCAUACUUCUGUAGACUUCAUAAACACUGUACACUAAGGCUACACUAAAUUUAUAAAAAAAAUUUUCUUUCUUCAAUAAUAAAUUAACCUUAGCUUUCUGUAACUUUUUUACUUUAUAAACUUUUAAACUUUUAAAAACUUUUGGGCUUUUCUCUAAUAACACUUAGCUUAAAACAUGUACACGUUGUACAGCUGUACUAAAAUAUUUUCUUUAUAUCCUUAUUCUAUAAACCUUUUUGUAUUUUUUAAAUUAUUAUUCUAAGGUUUUACUUUUUAAACUUCUUUGUUAAAACCAAAGACACAGGCUGGGUGCAGUGGCUCACACCUGUAAUCCCAACACUUUGGGAGGCCGAGUCAGGUGGAUUGCUUGAGGUCAGGAGUUCGAGACCAGCCUGGCCAACAUGGUGAAACCCCAUCUAUACUAAAAAUACAAAAAUUAGCCGGGUGUGAUAGCAGGUGCCUGUAAUCCCAGCUACUCGGGAGGCUGAGGCAGGAGAAUUGCUUGAACCCGGGAGGCGGACAUUGCGGUAAGAUAAGAUGGUGCCACUGCACUCCAGCCUGGGCAACAGAGCAAAACUCCAUCUCAAGAAAAACAAAAACAAACAAACAAAAAACAGUAAAAUAUCUGACAACAAUAGCACAAAGUCCAGGAGGGGCUAAGUGGAAGUGUACUGUUAUAAGGGUCAUAUUCUCUAUGUGAGGUGGUGUACUAUCACUUGAAGGUAGGCUGUUGUCUUAGUCUAUUCCUGCUGCUGUGACAAAAUACUUUAGACAAGAAGCUAAGGUGGAAGGAUACAUUAUAAUGUCAUAUUAUAAUGAGUUAGAGGUUACAUUAUAAUGAGCUAUGAUUGUGCCACUGCACUCCAGCCCAGGUGACAGAGUGAAACCCUGUCUCUUAAAAAAGAUGGAGAAGAAAAGAAA